UCCCCUGACUGUGUCCUUGAGAGACCCACAUUUGAGAGGUCACCUGACUGAGUUCCCAAAAGGAGUCUUUUAUCACACAGGCUCUGGGCAUCUGCCUUCUGGCAUUCAGAGUCAGGCUGAUCUCAGAGACUGACCUUGCUCAUUCUCUCCAGGCCUAAGCUCCCAAGACAUGUCUCCUCCCAGAGGCUGAGGUUGGCCAUUCCUUCCAGGCACCAACUCCUCAGAGAUCUGAGCCCCCAAGAGGUAUCUCUUCCCAGAGACUGAAGUUGGCUAUUCCCUCCAGGCCCCAGCUCCUGAGAGGCAGCUACUCCCAGAAUGAGGUAAUACUUGUGAAGAG
rnacentral:lncRNA from 1 species